rnacentral:lncRNA from 9 species
UCCACAGGUGCCAGCUCCUGCCCAAUUUUGUCCCUUUUCAGAUAAAUUGCAUACUGCUUUAAUUCAUUACAACUGAAAAACAUUAAUUUUCCUCAGAAAAGAAGACAAAAAAGAACCAAGGUUGAACCCUGAUAGACUGCACAAUUUAAUCUUUACAUUUAAUCUAUUAUUUUCCCCUAUCCACAGGCAGAAUCACAGACCUAUGGUUUUCCUGACUGGGUCUGGGUGUAUUCCAUGUACCAUAGCUAAAGGGGGCUCUGACCAUUGUGGAUUCAGAGGUGUUAAAUUUCCUGUUGGUAUGUGAAACUUAGUGAAAAGUUUUGCCUUUUACAAAUUGGUCAUAUUAUACAAUACUCUGAGAAAUUUACCAUGGGAAAGCCUGCAAGUAUGUACAGAGUAGAGGACACCAUGAAAAUUGACCAUCACUCAUCAAGGAGAAGCAUGAGGAAAUACGAUUCUCUUAUGAAAUAGAGAAAAAAAAAACCCAGCAAAUCACUUCCAUCUUUAAAAAACAUUGAGCUUCUCUAUUAAUGUUCACAAAAAAAAAAAAAAUCACAAAAGGAAAGUAUCUACAUUAGGGGAGGCUGGGUGCUAUAUUAAUUAAUUAACAAAAAAUUGAGUCCUCUUUCACAUACUGACUUUCAUAAAGGAAUAUUUCAGGCCACUGACAAUUCAUUAAAUUUAUGAAUAAAACUGAUAAUCUACUAUGGUCAUAAUAAACAUCCUGUUUUUGAAAGAAGGAAAUUAUUGCCUAUUUUUUUGUGGACUGAUACGCUUUUGAAGUUUAUAAUUUUUUUCCCUCAUUGAUUAUAUACUAAAGAUUUUAGCCAGUCUCUAGAAAAAAACUUUUAUACAACUUAUAUUUUGAAAAGUAUAUGAAAGCACUUUUUCUAAAGCAAAGAAUUUUAAACCUUAUUUUGCCACUGUUGCUCUUUUAUUAUUUAAUGGAUAUUAUAAGAAUGUUUUAAUGAAAUUUUAUCAAAAAUAGUAAAAAAUUAUAGAUAUAAUUCAAGACUUUUGAAAAAAUCUAGGAAUAUGUAAGCAUACAUAUUUUAAGUUGGUAUAAUUAUGAGGAUAUUUGUGGUAAUUAUUCAAUAUAUUUUAUUAAUGGAGACUCAUGAACCGAAAAUUAUUAAUACCUAAAUAAAAAAGGUAUUUCCUAUUAUCCCUCAGGAUGGGCCUGCCUCAUCAAAACCCAAAAUUACCUCUCUUUUUGCUUUCUUUUAGAGUAAUAGAUGCUACUGCUGGAAGAUUCUUUAGAGAUUAAUCUAAAUUGCUCAUUUUAUUAAUAUAUAAAUGGAAACUUAUGAGGUCUGCCUUGCUAGAAGUCACACAACUAAUUAAGAAAAUGCUGGUAGUAGAAUGAAGAUUCAACCAAUUUGGUGAUAUUGUUGCCUUUAAUAAUUUCUUCCUUGCUCUUCUAACCCUUUUCUAUUGAACACCAUUCUGCUUGCAUAUGACCCCUUUUCAUUCUCUCCAUUUUUUUCCAUACCAUUUACUCUACUUGGAAUUCUCGACAGUGUUAUAUUAGGUUAAACAUCUACUAACACAAAGAGCACAAUACUUGGGGAUAUUCAAAUUAGAAACAGACUAUACCUAUCCACUCUUCCCAGACUUUUAAAGGAUUGUAGCAAUCAGUAGACGAGGCAUGAGCCUAGUCCUUCAGGAAGAUGAAACUUUAUCAGGCCUGUGUCUAAAGGUAACAGUAGUCACUCCAUGAAGCCAACCAUCUUGUGUUUAGAAGCAUGUGUUCCUUUAUUUCAAAAAGAAAAUGGGAUGCGGAGCAGCUCAGCACAGCUCCUCAAUUUCACUUUUGACUACUUUCUCCGCAUUUGCCAAUGAUUAAAGGGAAGUCACAGACCAGGAUGCUGGUGACAUUUUUUUAUCAUGAUGGCUGUCAGUCAACUAUGUUAUCAUAUAGGAGAGCUCUGGUAUUGUUUGGGAGAGUGCAUCUGACAGGCUGAUUACUGUAUUAAUUUAUGAUGUGCUUUUCUCCUAGGAUUUACUAUAGGAAUUUUAUGGGCUGAAAUCUUUACAGAUGGGAUUUUUUUUUCAAAUCUUAAGGAAAAAUUGGAGAGAACUGUGGAUCUUAAUAAAUUGAUUAAGCAUACAAAAAUAUUUAAUUUGGUUCACUAAAAGGGAGUAAAAAGGCUUUGCCUCAGAUUUUACCUGAAAUUAUCUGUUGUUAAGUUUGGAAAUGGGUGGCUUUGGAAUUAUUUGGCCACUAUCAUUUUACCUGACUUUUUAACUGCUUUUUUAAUGGCUUUUAAAAUAAUGUGUGAAAACAUUGUAUUAGACCCAUACUGAGAAUAUAAAUGUUACACAGAGUCAACUAUCUUAAAAUAACACACUUAAAACCAUAGUAUUUCUAAUACUAUUGUAUUCUAAGUUGGGAGUAAUCUAAUUUAAAUAUAAUUUCUCUUUGUUAAACAAAAUUAUGAUUCAAAACAACAUAGUGGGAGUUCCCCUUGUGGCUUAGCAGGUUAAGAACCCAACACACUGUUCCUGAGGAUGCGGGUUUGUUCCCUGGCUCCACUCAGUGGGUUAAGCUUAGAUUCAGAGUUGCCGCAAGCUUUGGUGUUGGUCCCAGAUGUGGCUUAGAUCCAACUUUGCUAUGGCUGUGGUGUAGGACAGUAGCUGCAGCUUGGAUUCAGUCCCUAGCCUGGGAACUUCCAUAUGCCAUAGGUGCAGUGCUAAAAAGAAAAAGAAAAAAAAAAAAA